GCUAUAGCUCAGCUGGACAGAGCGACCGCCUCCUAAGCGGUAGGCCGGAGGUUCGAAUCCUCUUAGC
rnacentral:tRNA from 1 species